rnacentral:misc_RNA from 1 species
GAUGAAGAACGCAGUGAAAUGCGAUAAGUAAUGUGAAUUGCAGAAUUCAGUGAAUCAUCGAAUCUUUGAACGCACCUUGCGCUCUUUGGUAUUCCGAAGAGCAUGCCUGUUUGAGUGUCAUGAAAAUAUCAACCUUGACUUGGGUUUUGUGCUCUAGUCUCGGCUUGGAAUUGGGUGCUUGCCGCUUUUACGAGCGGCUCACCUUAAAUGUAUUAGCUGGAUCUGUCUUUGAGACUUGGUUUGACUUGGCGUAAUAAGUAUUUCGCUAAGGACAUUCUUCGGAGUGGCCUCGUUUCUAGGACGCUUGUCCGCUUUCCAAUACAAGUUCCACCUCGUGGACAUGACUUUUUAUUAUCUGGCCUCAAAUCAGGUAGGACUACCCGCUGAACUUAAGCAUAUCAAUAAGCGGGA